AAAAAAAAAAAAAAAAAGGAAGAAGAAGAAAGAAGUUUCCCUUCAGUUAAGACCUCAAUCAUAUCAAAGAAUCACUUUAUUUCUGCUUUUAUAAAAGUUGCAACAACUUUUUCAAGAAAUAUAGCUAACUUGUGGGCUGCAAGUUUAAUUAUUGCAGAUAUUAUUGUCUUUAAGUUCCAGUUCUUUAUUAUUGUUUCAAUACCUAAGCCCUAUCCUGGGAUAUUUGAGAGCAAAAAUAAAUUGUGCAUGAACAUUACCCACCAAGUUACAGCUUCAAAAUUUAGAAUUUAGUUACUAAUUUUAUUUUAUCUCUUCUUUAGUCUCCACCAAUUUUCAUCAUGUACUUUGUUGUAUGAAGAUCGUAAAGCUUAAAAAAUGCCCACCAUUCUUCAAUAAAUAGGUCAUUUAUAUCAAAGGCUUUUUGUAACACUUAAGCAUAGAACACUCACUGCAUUUUCCUUGUAUGACCAUGAUGUUAACAUACUGAAAAACUUUAAGUUCCCUGAAGAGUUUCUUCUUAUAAAUCUGUCCUAGCUGUGUCUAACUAAAUUAUGUUUUCUUAAGAUAGUAUGUCCUCUAAAAUUGUUUCUAGUAUGUGUCUUACACACAAAGUUAACUAUCUUGGUUAUAAUUGACUGCCAGCAGAUAGAUUCACUUUUGAUAACAGUAUUUUGUUCCUGAUUUUCUAGGAGAUGCAGCUUCUUUCCUCAUUAGUGAACAGUAAACCCAAACUACCAACAUCGUUUACCAUGUUUAAAAAUUAAAAUGAUCUUAAUAAAUAGUGCUCAAAUGAUGGCACAUGGCCAAAUGAAUCAUCUUUGCCCUAAAGAAACACAAAAGUAUUACGGAAGCUGAUUCCAUGUCCUUUAAGUGACACAGCUUGUGAGGACCCUGCAGUUACUUGGGAUAAAGAAAGAUAAGGAAGAGAAAGCAAAUUCACCAACUGAAAAGAGAAGAAAGAAUAACUUAAAUUAUCACCGUUGGAUUGCAUCAUGUCAGAAUCAAGAUCAUCUGCCAACGGUUUAGGAGAAAGGGAGAUGAAAAAGCCUGGAGAAGCUUUGAGUCAUCUGCUAAGGUGUUGUUUAGUGAAUCGACAAAAGAUGCUGUUUUCUAUUGUCAUCCAUUUUACUAAAGAAAAUGCAACUGUUGCUGUGUAUUGUGAAUUUAUGGAGGAUUCAGAAGUGAAAGCCAUUUUAUUCCCUUUUAAAAGGGGGGGGGCGUUGUUACCGUCUUUUUAGGUGGGAGUGGUACAACAGACCUCUUUCUUGGGAUACCCAUACUAGAUUAAAUAUUAUUUGAUGCAAAUAAUCUGUAACUUUUAUUUUGGCUUUUGGACUGUAUUUCCCAAGGUGAAAAAGAUCUUGCUGUUUUCAAAAGCUAAAUAGAACAUCAACCAGAGACAAAAAGCCAUCCAGAAGGAUGAGUUCCAUGGUAAUCUAGAGCAAAGAAAAUUAACAUUUUCACUUACAGUCAGAAAAAUGGACGCCCCCCAUGCCCACUGUUUAUGUGUAUCUGAAUAACUAGAUGCUUCUCUUAUUCCCAGUAUUAGGUGUGAUUGAGAGAUAACUUACUCGGGGCCGGUGGCAGCAGCAGCGGUUUCUGUGCUCUGAGUAGCCCAUGCUCUUGUGAGCAUCAAAAGGAGAUGAAGCCUGAUUAACCAUUUUGAAAUCUAUCGGAUGAGGAGAAGUCCUUACAAAACAACUUUUAUACGCUUUAAUUAAAAACGUGUUCCGGCAGCUCAGAGCUGAAUGGGCUUCAGGGGGAGCAGGGCUGAGCCCGUUGCUAUGACAACACAAAAUCUUUUCGUGCCUGGCCCUUCCUCAGCACACAUUCUCUAGCUCUCUCCAGCCUCCGUCCCUUCUCUCACUCCCUCAGUCUCUGGGUCUAGGAGUCGAAAUAAGACCCAGGACUUUGCUUUUUCUGGUAGUUCUCCCUCCCUCCUUUUCCCUCAUUUUUCAUCGUUUACAUUUCCUUGGCCAUCUCUAUAUUCUUGUUUCUCUUGAAAACAAGUUUACCUCUUGAGUUGAAUACACUAAGAAAAAAAUAUUAUUUUUGGUCAUAGGAUGGUAAUUAUUGUUUAUAUCCCCUCAUAAAUCCAUUUUUAGGAGUCCUGAGUGUAGGUGAGAAGAAUCUUACUAAUGUUCUACAUUUUUUAUUUUUCAGGUUGAACACUGGCUACUACAUCACUCUUUCUGUUGCUGAAGAUAAGGCUAAAAUAAAAAGGGUUAUGAUUUACUCUGUUAACGUUAA